GGCAGGAGGGCCCAUCUCAGUCUGCUGUAUCUUCACCUGUUAUCGCCUGGUAACGGCUUCCAAAGUCGUAGCUUCGUCAGCUUCCGUUUCACGUCCUUGCUGGCCGGCGGCCGUCUCACAACUCACUCAUUGCUCCAGCUGACUAACUCCUAGGCUGGCGCCCAUCUCACACCAACCUCCUACUCUUCUCACCGCCAUCUCGAGAUUCUCUGGACCUGUAUGUGUGGGACGAGCAUCACCACCACCGCACAUUCUGCAUGAGGCUACAAUACACAGAUGCACUACUGCUUAUAGAAAGGCUACAUGGAUACCUCCAGAGGAGAGUGGUUGCACAGGAACACCCUGCGCAGAAUCGCUUCAUUCAGCUGUUUCUCGGAAGCUGUCUGCAUCCCUUACGGAGUGUAAUUCUUGGUAUGGCUGUUAAUUUUAAUUUGUCUCAUUGUUCAUUAAUGUACUGACGGAAGAUAAACAAGCAAUAAAGCCAAUAAUUCACCAUCCGUCCGUCCGUGGUUCACGCUUACUCCU